AAAGUUUUCCCUUAGGUUUCUGAAGCUCAGGGAUUUUUCUGGGCUGGGGGAGAGCAAGGCUGCACACGCAAAACGUGAGGCUGCACCAGUGGCUUUGUCCCAGCUCCCAGUUCCUGCCUGCAGCUUUGGGGGCUGCUUUGAGGCAGCAGGGAGCAGCAUUAAAAGGAAAAUGCAGCUUGGGGAAGGCAGCUGGAGCCUCCUUCCUGCCUGGAAAGGGGUUUAGGGGCUCCUGGUAAAUCCCAGGUUAAGCCUGGAGCACAUUGCAGCCAGGCCAAAGCCAACAACCCUCUCCAGUUUCAGGAAACUGGGAGCUGUGGUUUAACAGGACGGGUGACACUGGUGACACGGGUGACAGGCUGCAGCCAAGGCCAGCCCUGGCUGGCAGUGACACUCACCUGCGCAGGUUGUGCUGUGGGAUUGCUCAAGCUGUGGCGGGAUCCUGAGGAGAACACGGAAUUUUCUUGGCUCUCUGCUGGCAGUGCCAGGGCGGUGUUUGGCACCUCUGCAGGGCUGGCGGUGCCCCUGUCCCUCACCCAGGCUGGCGGUGCCCCCGUCCCUCUCGGGGGAUCCCGGGCUGCAGCAGCUCCUCCCCAGGUGCAGGAGGGAGGGAAGGAAGGAUGUGUUUUAUCAAAGUCAGUCCCUGCUGUUUGAGUUCCUGCUCUGCCGCUCGAUAUCAUCUCAAAACCAACACGGGAGCUGUGGUGGGAUCCUCAGAAGAACAUGGAAUUUUCUUGGCUCCCUGCUGGCACUUCCAGGGAUCCAGGAGCAUCCACAGUUUCUCUGGGAAUCUCUUCCAAGGUCUCGCCACCCUCACUGGAGAGAAUUCAACCUAAAUCCAAUCUAAAUCCUUCUCCAGAGCCCCCCUGAGAUGAUGUUCCCUGGUCUCUCUUCAUUCUGAAAAAUCCUUCUCUCUUCAUUUUGAAAAAUGUCCAUUUUUUGCUCCCACCAAAGCCUUUCCUGCCGCCUCUCUCCCUUUCCAUGGAUUUCCUCCUCUGCUUCCUCCCCUCUCCUCUCCCACUUUCCCUUGCUUGAAAUCCAUGGAAAAAAAUGUGCAGCCUCCCCGAGAGAACCCCUUGGCAAAGUCAUAACUUGUUAAGCACCGUAAUUAAAAUAUUUCUCUCAUUAACUUGG
rnacentral:lncRNA from 1 species